UACACAUGCACUUAUCCGGAGUUUCAGUAGCUUCCAAGUAGCAACGAAAGAAAUGGUUUGCUGUUCAGACAAUUGAGAUCUCAUCUUUGUCAAUGGCGAGCGGAGUAAAACUAGGCACAAGAGCAUGUUGGGGUUCGCUCGUCGAAGGCAAUGAACGUUUCGCUGCCAUACUAGACUCUCCAAUCUGAGACACAAGGCGAGACCUGCAAGUUUAAGCGAUCUCUUCUUGCUGAAGCCGUGAAAGUGAUUUCCUAUCACUACCAAACAUUUCUAACAUUACAGCAUUGACAUUUUCAAUAGUAUUCUCAAUCAAGCUGCUCACCGUUGGCGAAAAUUGGAGGAGUGCUUGCCAAAACCAAGCAAGGAAUGACUUGAACAACAACCAGUGAAGUUUUGGAACUCAUGGUGUAGAGUCUGCAACUUGACUUGAACCACCAUUGAUGAGCAGUUAAUGAGCCAUGGAAGGAUGUUCGAAGGAUUGCCCAAGCCUCCUUUGCUGUUGAAGCUGCUGCAAUUUUUGAGAAGAUUGAAUCAUCCACUGCUUGUUGGAUGAAGAACAGUGCCUUUGAUUCUUUCUUCUUGUUUUCUUUCAGUUUAGCCUCAUCAUCAUUCUCACUGUACCCAUUCUCCACUAAGUCCCAAAGCCCUUGAGACUUAAACAGAGUUUUCAUCUUGAUGCUCCAAAAUUCAUAGUUUUUGCCUUUGAAAAUGGGUAUUGAAGGUUGAGAGGCAUUUACUGCACUGCCGUUGUUGAUUGCCAUUUGAGUACGCCCAAGACGAAGUGUAACAGCUCUGAUACCAAUCUGCUGGCUUUUUAACAGAGAAAUAACAGAGAACAAGACGAUAGAGAGAUAGAAUGUCGGGGCAAGUAGUUUCUGAAAUUUUAUUACCGUUAAGCUUUCUGAAAUACAACUGGAAUUCACUGAAAUAAAUAGAUAAAUGAGCCAAAAAAUUUUCCUAAUCUUAAGGAACAAGCAAACAGAAUAAUAGAAAAAUAAAUAUUUUAUUCCAGAUUUUUUGCUACCCAUAUCUGCUAGAUUGUGGAGGUUGUUUUCGAUAUUUGCUGAAACAGGUUUUGGAUCAUAUCUUCAACAUCUUCCUUGAGCAAUAGAUAAUGGUGAUGUAUAACUGAUUUGCAGACUUACAGUUUGCUUCCGUGAUCCUUGCACAGCAGAUGUCUCCGGAGGCAUUUCUCCUUUGUUUCUUCUUUCAUUUACCAGAAGAAUCGCACAUCUGCAGGUGCAAUACAUAAGCGACACUGAGAGAAAAGAUUAUCAAAAACUCGAUGAUGAAGGCUGAUCCUAAGACUGUAACCACAUUUAUGAUGAGUUUGUAAAUGGUCAAAUAUAUAUAUAUAUAUAUAUAUAAAGGAACUUCCAUUUCCUUGCCUUUC